rnacentral:rRNA from 1 species
CAGUAGCCGCGGUAAUACGAAGGGGGCUAGCGUUGUUUGGAAUCACUGGGCGUAAAGAGCACGUAGGCGGAUCUUUAAGUCAGAGGUGAAAUCCCGAGGCUCAACCUCGGAACUGCCUUUGAUACUGGGGAUCUCGAGUCCGGGAGAGGUGAGUGGAACUGCGAGUGUAGAGGUGAAAUUCGUAGAUAUUCGCAAGAACACCAGUGGCGAAGGCGGCUCACUGGCCCGGAACUGACGCUGAGGUGCGAAAGCGUGGGGAGCAAACAGGAUUAGAUACCCCCGUAGUCCCUGUCUCUUAUAU